rnacentral:rRNA from 1 species
CAAUAGCGUAUAUUAAAGUUGUUGCAGUUAAAAAGCUCGUAGUUGAAUUUCUGUCAGGAGUGACCGGGCCUUUGGAUGAACUUCCAUUGUUUUUGCUCUGUUUGUCAUCUCUAGACAUCCUAAAUUACAUUUCUUGUAAUUUUCUUUUACUGUUAGCAAAAUAGAGUGUUCCAAGCAAAGCGUAGUUUUGAAUACAUUAGAAUGGAAUAAUAAGAUAGGACUUUGGUGCUAUUUUGUUGGUUUGCACACCAAGGUAAUGAUUAAUAGGGACAGUUGGGGGUAUUCGUAUUUAAUUGUCAGAGGUGAAAUUCUUGGAUUUAUGAAAGACGAACUACUGCGAAAGCAUUUACCAAGGAUGUUUNCAUUA